CACUCCCGGCACGGGGAGGUAGUGACAAAAAAUAACGAUACGGGACUCUUAUGAGGCCCCGUAAUCGGAAUGAGUACACUUUAAAUCCUUUAACAAGGAUCCAUUGAAGGGCAAGUCUGGUGCCAGCAGCCGCGGUAAUUCCAGCUUCAAUAGCGUAUAUUAAAGUUGUUGCGGUUAAAAAGCUCGUAGUUGGUUCUGCGUGCCACGCUGUCGGUUCGCCGCCUGCCGGUGUAACUGGCAUGCCGUGGCAUGUCCUGUCGGUGGCGUUCGGGAGCCUCGUCUAGGCGCUGGCCCUUGCCAAAAGCUUGGUGCUCGGAGGCCGGGGGUAUACCCGUUCGCCUACUCUAUCCUACCUAGGUGCUCUUCACCGAGUGUCGAGGUAGGCCGACACGUUUACUUUGAACAAAUUAGAGUGCUCAAAGCAGGCUGAAAUCUCUGCCUGAAUAGUGGUGCAUGGAAUAAUAAAACAGGACCUUGGUUCUAUUUUGUUGGUUCUUAGGAACACAAGGUAAUGAUCAAUACGGACAGGCGGGGGCAUUCGUAUUGCGACGUUAGAGGUGAAAUUCUUGGAUCGUCGCAAGACGCACAAGAGCGAAAGCAUUUGCCAAGUAUGUCUUGAUUGAUCAAGAACGAAAGUUAGAGGUUCGAAGGCGAUCAGAUACCGCCCUAGUUCUAACCAUAAACGAUGCCAGCCAGCGAUCCGCCGAUGUUCCUCCGAUGACUCGGCGGGGAGCUUCUUCCCGGGAAACCAAAGCUUUUGGGUUCCGGGGGAAGUAUGGUUGCAAAGCUGAAACUUAAAGGGAAUUGACGGAGGGGCACCACCAGGAGUGGAGCCUGCGGCUUAAAUUUGACUCAACACGGGAAACCUCACCAGGCCAGGACAUUGGAAGGAUUGACAGAUUGAUAGCUCUUUCUUGNAUUCAGUGGGUAGUGGUGCAUGGCCGUUCUUAGUUGGUGGAUCGAUUUGUCUGGUUAAUUCCGAUAACGAACGAGACUCUNGCCUAUUAACUAGGCGUUUUCCGGUGUCCCCGCCACCGGCGACANUCAUUCUUCUUAAGGGGACAGGCGGCUUUUAGCCGCACGAGAUUGAGCAAUAACAGGUCUGUGAUGCCCUUAGAUGUCCUGGGCCGCACGCGCGCUACACUGAAGGAAUCAGCGUGUGCCUCCCAGGCCGAAAGGCCCGGGUAAUCCGCUGAACCUCCUGCGUGCUAGGAAUUGGGGCUUGCAAUUGUUCCCCAUGAACGAGGAAUUCCCAGUAAGCGCGAGUCAUAAGCUCGCGUUGAUUACGUCCCUGCCCUUUGUACACACCGCCCGUCGCUACUACYGAUUGAAUGAUUUAGUGAGGUCUUCGGACUGGCGGUA
rnacentral:rRNA from 1 species